rnacentral:lncRNA from 1 species
UUAUUAAUUCACUUGUCUGAAGUUCCUUUAACUCUCCUUUCUAGUCCUCAGUUUCACUUUGCAAAUCAUUUUUUAUUCAUAACCACAUAAAACAAUUUAUUUUGAAAAGUCCCUCAUAUAAUUUUCUCUUAUUCUAGGAUUAUAAUUUUUCUGUUUGUCCCUUCGAAUAAAACUUUCAGAUUUGUCAACACUCAUUUAGCAGUAGCUCCUAUUGAUAGGAUUCCAUCCAUCUCUUUUGACCUAGUGAGUGAAUAUAAUUAUAGAUGCCACAGAAAUUUAAUCCUGUCAGAUCUAACUGCCUGCGUAUAAAUUUCCAUGUCCCACAAAGGCAUCUCAUUGAGGUCACAUUCUGUUGUAUCCUUACUUUGUAUCUUGAGAUGUCUUGGUGGGGCAUCGAAAUUUAUAUGUAGGCAGUUUGAUCUGACAGGAUUGAAUUUCAGCAGCAUCCAUUAUUAUAUCCGCUCACUAGGUCAAAAGACAUGGAUGGAAUCUUAUCAACAGGAGCUACUGCUAAAUGAGUCUCUUUUCUAUUUUUCCCUAUUAUAAUCCUAGUGAAGCUGUAAAUAUUAGGUUCUUGAACCCACAGGACUGUUUCUAGGAUCUUGUCUGGCCAGGGAUAUAGCCUUCUAAUCUGCAGAACCUUAUAGUAAUCAGCUACCAACUUACCUGGGGAUAAGAGAAUUGAAAAGAGAAGGAGAAUAAGGAGAAGCAAAUGGAGUCUCAUUGCUGAAGGGCCAGCAUCAAUGUGGGUUGAGCCUGGAGUCUCAGCAUUGUGGAUCUGGGCCUUUUUAUGAUGCUGUCUGAGUCUGUGAUUUGUCCUUGAUUAGUAGAGCCUAACGAAAAGAGAAUAACUAAAUCUCCCACAGGAAACUUCCAGGGACACACAAGUACAUAAAUGUGGUGAUAUCUCAAUGGAUGAGAAAGCAGGUGAAUGCUAUUUAUUUCCCAAAGACUCAGGAUGUCUUUGUUGUCACCUGCUUUCUUUAUUAUUUUCAACAUGCACAUGCAAUAAUCAUUGAUCUUACUUUAUACAUCUAUUGUUUGCCAGGCAAUAUAGUAGGAACUGAGGUAAAAUUAUUAUACACAAACUGUACAUAAUUAAUGGAUAUAGUCUGGCAAGUUUGCACGUAUAUAUUACUCUUGUUACCACAACCAAUAUCCAGGUAAUAAUAUAUCCAUCACCUCCAAAUAUUUCCUACGUCCCUUUGUUGUUGUUGUUAUUGUUGUUGUUGUUGUCAGAACCCCUAAGAUCGACCCUUUUAACAAAUUGUUAGAUAUAAAUACCUCAUUGUUAACUAUAGGUACUAUGUUUUGGAGCCUAUCUCUGUAAUUGACUCAUUUUGUAUAGCUUUAACCCUUGAACAAUAACUCCCCAUGUUGCUCUUUCCCCAGUCAAUAAAACACCAAACUCUUUUAAAGCA